UUAAAGGAAGGGUAAACAACUAUGGAAUCCCUCCUGGCUGGAGGCAGGGCCCUUUCACCUGUGGAGGGUUGGGAAGCUGGGAUGGCCUCGCUGGCACCUGACCAAAGUGACCAAUGAGGAGACAAGAUACUUUCAAAGCUGCAGAAGGGGA